UUUAUCACUCAUAAUGUCUCAUUUGACUUCAAUUGGCACAAAUUUGGUCCUCAUGUAGGUAAACAGCAAUAAAAGUUUCCAAAGGUGAUGGAAAGACUGGAGGAAAGACUAGGUGCUGAGAGCCCUCUUAUACCUGUAUCAAGGAGGCAAUUAAACACAC